GAUGAACGCUGGCGGCGUGCCUAAUACAUGCAAGUCGAGCGAACAGACGAGGAGCUUGCUCCCUUGACGUUAGCGGCGGACGGGUGAGUAACACGUGGGUAACCUACCUAUAAGACUGGGAUAACUUCGGGAAACCGGAGCUAAUACCGGAUAAUAUUUCGAACCGCAUGGUUCGAUAGUGAAAGAUGGCUUUGCUAUCACUUAUAGAUGGACCUGCGCCGUAUUAGCUAGUUGGUAAGGUAACGGCUUACCAAGGCAACGAUACGUAGCCGACCUGAGAGGGUGAUCGGCCACACUGGAACUGAGACACGGUCCAGACUCCUACGGGAGGCAGCAGUAGGGAAUCUUCCGCAAUGGGCGAAAGCCUGACGGAGCAACGCCGCGUGAGUGAUGAAGGUCUUCGGAUCGUAAAACUCUGUUAUUAGGGAAGAACAAACGUGUAAGUAACUGUGCACGUCUUGACGGUACCUAAUCAGAAAGCCACGGCUAACUACGUG
rnacentral:rRNA from 1 species